GAUGGUAUAGCUUAGUGGUGGAGCACCUGCUUAGCAUGCAUGAGGUCGUGGGUUCAAUCCCCAGUACCGGCA
rnacentral:tRNA from 1 species